rnacentral:rRNA from 1 species
GACGAACGCUGGCGGCGUGCUUAACACAUGCAAGUCGAACGGAAAGGCCCUGCUUUUGUGGGGUGCUCGAGUGGCGAACGGGUGAGUAACACGUGAGUAACCUGCCCUUGACUUUGGGAUAACUUCAGGAAACUGGGGCUAAUACCGGAUAGGAGCUCCUGCUGCAUGGUGGGGGUUGGAAAGUUUCGGCGGUUGGGGAUGGACUCGCGGCUUAUCAGCUUGUUGGUGGGGUAGUGGCUUACCAAGGCUUUGACGGGUAGCCGGCCUGAGAGGGUGACCGGCCACAUUGGGACUGAGAUACAGCCCAGACGCCUACGGGAGGCAGCAGUGGGGAAUAUUACACAAUGGGCGGAAGCCUGAUGCAGCAACGCCGCGUGCGGGAUGACGGCCUUCGGGUUGUAAACCGCUUUCGCCUGUGACGAGGCGUGAGUUACGGUAAUGGGUAAAGAAGCACCGGCUAACUACGUG